UACGGAGGAUCCAAGCGUUAUCCGGAUUUAUUGGGUUUAAAGGGUGCGCAGGCGGAAGAUUAAGUCGGCGGUGAAAUUUUGCAGCUCAACUGUAAAAGUGCCAUCGAUACUGGUUUUCUUGAGUGUGGAUGAAGUAGGCGGAAUUUGUGGUGUAGCGGUGAAAUGCAUAGAUAUCACGAGGAACUCCGAUUGCGCAGGCAGCUUACUAAACCAUAACUGACGCUCAGGCACGAAGGCGUGGGGAUCAAACAGGAUUAGAUACCCCCGUA
rnacentral:rRNA from 1 species